GAGUUUGUAUCAUGGCUCAGAUUGAACGCUGGCGGCACGCUUAACACAUGCAAGUCGAGCGGUAGCAGGACAUGUAGCAAUACAUGUUGCUGACGAGCGGCGGACGGGUGAGUAACACGUAGGAACUUAUCCUAAAGAGGGGGACAACCAAGGGAAACUUUGGCUAAUACCGCGUAACCUCGAGAGAGAAAAGUUGCCCGCAAGGGUGGCGCUUUAGGAAGGGCCUGCGUCCGAUUAGCUAGUUGGAGAGGUAAGAGCUCCCCAAGGCGAUGAUCGGUAACUGGUCUGAGAGGACGACCAGUCACACUGGGACUGAGACACGGCCCAGACUCCUACGGGAGGCAGCAGUGGGGAAUAUUGGACAAUGGGGGCAACCCUGAUCCAGCGAUGCCGCGUGGGUGAAGAAGGCCUCGGUUGUAAG
rnacentral:rRNA from 1 species